rnacentral:misc_RNA from 1 species
AGUAGCUAGCCAUAUCCAUGACCGCAUGUUUCGUGUUUGCUUCGUGAUCAUCGUGCUUUUGACGUUAAUGCCCGAUCUGCGAUUCGUCGUUUAGCUGUUGUUUUUGUUUGUUGUCACGAGAAAUGAAAAGACAGAGCUCCGGCAAUAGGACCCAUGCAAACGAGGAUGAGCCCUGCAACUGGAAAAAAUGGCGUGCUGAAAGAAAACAGCAGCUUCUCAAAUGGAGGGAAGAAAGGCUCAUCAAAAAGCUCGAGAAGGAAAAGAAAGCGAAGGAAUCCGAAGAACAGCAGGCCUCGUCCAUGGAUUCCGAAUCGAAAGGCCGGAAGUACACCCUCAGCAUAGCAGUCCCAGGUUCCAUAAUGGACAAUGCUCAGAAUGCGGAAUUGCGAACUUACUUAGCCGGUCAGAUUGCAAGGGCUGCAGUCGUUUUUUGCGUGGAUGAAAUCGUUGUCUAUGAUGAUGAUGGCUCAACUACACGUGGUGCAAAUGGGACUGCUGUGGAUGGAGAAUUUGGUGGCCUUGCCAAAUCUGGUCAAGGCGUGGUGCAGUUGGCACGUGUCCUACAGUACCUCGAGUGCCCGCAGUACCUACGCAAGCAUCUCUUUCCCUUGCAUCGUGACCUGCAGUUUGCAGGGUUGCUGAAUCCACUGGACUGCCCACACCACCUGCGCGCCACUGAGGAGAGUCCGUAUCGUGAAGGAAUUGUGGCACGGCUGCCUGUUAAGGAAGGCAGUGGGUCUUACGUCAACUGUGGGCUCAACAAAGAGGUGAAGAUAGACCGCUGUCUGCAACCAGGAGUGCGAGUUACUGUAAAAAUGAAAGAAGGAGUCCCUGGCAAGAAGCUGCGAGGUACUGCUGUGUCACCGUCGUGUCCUCGAACAGAAGCAGGCCUCUACUGGGGUUAUGAAGUCAGGGUAGCUCGUAGUCUUGGUGCAGUCCUGGCCGAGUGCCCUUUUCCAGGUGGCUACGACAUUACCCUGGGCACUUCAGAACGAGGGACACCUGUUGAUGAGCUCGAGUUACCUCAUCGGUUCGAACAUGCACUUGUUGUGUUCGGAGGUCUCAAAGGUCUGGAGGCAGCCCUUGAAGCAGAUGAAGCUCUGGAUGUUGAUGAUCCUGAGUACUUAUUCAACCACUACCUAAACACCUGUCCUAGCCAAGGAUCAAGAACAAUUAGGACAGAGGAGGCCAUCCUUAUCUCGCUCUCGGCCUUACGACCCAAGAUUGUGGCUGCACAGAGUGGUGAUAGUGCUGUGGAUUCCUCCUGAGGCAACACUUCUUUGGUGUGUGUGAUCCACGCGCAUACAUCAUCUCCUGUUGACGCGACGAAACUUGUUUUUGUCAAUCUUGUCAAAAAACAGCAGCCCCGCUGCCCUCUCAAUGGUGUCUAAUGGAACCUGAAAAAAAUAUAGAGCAUUUCCUUAUGCAGUGAAGGACUAUGAACAACACGCAGCUAAUUGAAAUCAGUCCUGCACAGCCACCAACCAAUAGUUCGGACAUCACUGAUUGCAGUCCUGUACAGUCAUCGGCCAAUAGUCCGGAUAUCACUGAUUAUUCAAACAGUCCACCUCAAUGACUAAUCCAUAAAGACGACCAAAAAAUUUUGGACAAAUUACAGUGUGCUGUGCAAUAUUUUAGUUUAGAUAUGUUACCGGCGUAAAGUGGUGUACUGUGUCCAGUUUUCUACACGCUAAGCCUCGCUAUGUCACCGGCGUUUAUUCAAAACCAAAACUACCGGACAAUGGUAAUUGAUCUAGUAGCCACUGACCAUGCCCAGCUACUAAGUCGUAGAAGUUGAAUUUUCACGAUUUAUUGUACAAUCUUGGGCAGCAUAUUCCAUUAUUAGUUUCACAUGGCACCAACUCUACUCUUGAUGUCCGUGGCAGACUAUUACUGUUAUGAAGUCAGGGAAGAAGAUACACUGCACACACUCAUUACUUUAUUUGUAGCGAUGGCAUGAUAGUGGUUGAGAUAUGGGCCACAAUUAUGUUGCGAUGCUGCUCGCUUGGUGCCACUUUUUACAUCCACUGUUCACGGCCAAAUGAUCUUGUUUGUAGCGCGGGUAGAGCAUUGCUCUCACCAAUGACUAAGAAUAAGAAAGCAUUAAGAGGAAUAACGUAAGAAAACCCAUCGCUACAAUAUUGCAGCCACACACUGUUUAGGCCAUAGGUACUAAGUGUGUGUGCAUGUGUGGGCUGCAGCAAGAUGUUUGACGAUCACUUUCAAUGAUACCUUUCAUUUUGUAAAAUUUCGCACGAAUGGCACAGGCUGCGUCAAUGGGCAGGAGCGUCUCCGGGAAUGUGAUAAGGCAACAUGCUUGUGACUGUGCCAAGAGUGAGUCUUGCGCUAUUUACACUAAAUUGAUAUCAUCCACAAAACUGACUAUCUGAAAAUACGGAACAUCUAAUAGGUGUGCCAAAAAUUCAGCACACCUUUAUUAGGGGGGAUGGGAGAGAAGGGAAGCAUUUAUAGAGUAAUGUUACUAAUUAUUUGGUGACUCCAGUACAUUAGACUUCUGAGCGUCAAUUUUAUUGGUUGGGAACUGUCGAUGUAUUUCAGUGGGGACCACUGCUGCCUGGUGCACAUGUCAUUUUGUUGUGGCACACAGUGUCAAUAAAAAUAAAACUGGACAAUGACCUGGUUA